GAUGAACGCUGGCGGCGUGCCUAAUACAUGCAAGUCGAGCGAACGGACGAGAAGCUUGCUUCUCUGAUGUUAGCGGCGGACGGGUGAGUAACACGUGGAUAACCUACCUAUAAGACUGGGAUAACUUCGGGAAACCGGAGCUAAUACCGGAUAAUAUUUUGAACCGCAUGGUUCAAAAGUGAAAGACGGUCUUGCUGUCACUUAUAGAUGGAUCCGCGCUGCAUUAGCUAGUUGGUAAGGUAACGGCUUACCAAGGCAACGAUGCAUAGCCGACCUGAGAGGGUGAUCGGCCACACUGGAACUGAGACACGGUCCAGACUCCUACGGGAGGCAGCAGUAGGGAAUCUUCCGCAAUGGGCGAAAGCCUGACGGAGCAACGCCGCGUGAGUGAUGAAGGUCUUCGGAUCGUAAAACUCUGUUAUUAGGAAAGAACAUAUGUGUAAGUAACUGUGCACAUCUUGACGGUACCUAAUCAGAAAGCCACGGCUAACUACGUGCCAGCAGCCGCGGUAAUACGUAGGUGGCAAGCGUUAUCCGGAAUUAUUGGGCGUAAAGCGCGCGUAGGCGGUUUUUUAAGUCUGAUGUGAAAGCCCACGGCUCAACCGUGGAGGGUCAUUGGAAACUGGAAAACUUGAGUGCAGAAGAGGAAAGUGGAAUUCCAUGUGUAGCGGUGAAAUGCGCAGAGAUAUGGAGGAACACCAGUGGCGAAGGCGACUUUCUGGUCUGUAACUGACGCUGAUGUGCGAAAGCGUGGGGAUCAAACAGGAUUAGAUACCCUGGUAGUCCACGCCGUAAACGAUGGGUGCUAAGUGUUAGGGGGUUUCCGCCCCUUAGUGCUGCAGCUAACGCAUUAAGCACUCCGCCUGGGGAGUACGACCGCAAGGUUGGAACUCAAAGGAAUUGACGGGGACCCGCACAAGCGGUGGAGCAUGUGGUUUAAUUCGAAGCAACGCGAAGAACCUUACCAAAUCUUGACAUCCUUUGACAACUCUAGAGAUAGAGCCUUCCCCUUCGGGGGACAAGGUGACAGGUGGUGCAUGGUUGUCGUCAGCUCGUGUCGUGAGAUGUUGGGUUAAGUCCCGCAACGAGCGCAACCCUUAAGCUUAGUUGCCAUCAUUAAGUUGGGCACUCUAAGUUGACUGCCGGUGACAAACCGGAGGAAGGUGGGGAUGACGUCAAAUCAUCAUGCCCCUUAUGAUUUGGGCUACACACGUGCUACAAUGGACAAUACAAAGGGCAGCGAAACCGCGAGGUCAAGCAAAUCCCAUAAAGUUGUUCUCAGUUCGGAUUGUAGUCUGCAACUCGACUACAUGAAGCUGGAAUCGCUAGUAAUCGUAGAUCAGCAUGCUACGGUGAAUACGUUCCCGGGUCU
rnacentral:rRNA from 1 species